rnacentral:rRNA from 1 species
CCUACGGGUGGCAGCAGUCGAGAAUCAUUCACAAUGGGGGAAACCCUGAUGGUGCGACGCCGCGUGGGGGAAUGAAGGUCUUCGGAUUGUAAACCCCUGUCAUGUGGGAGCAAAUUAAAAAGAUAGUACCACAAGAGGAAGAGACGGCUAACUCUGUGCCAGCAGCCGCGGUAAUACAGAGGUCUCAAGCGUUGUUCGGAAUCACUGGGCGUAAGGCGUGCGUAGGCUGUUUCGUAAGUCGGGUGUGAAAGGCGCGGGCUCAACCCGCGGACGGCACAUGAUACUGGGAGACUAGAGUAAUGGAGGGGGAACCGGAAUUCUCGGUGUAGCAGUGAAAUGCGUAGAUAUCGAGAGGAACACUCGUGGCGAAGGCGGGUUCCUGGACAUUAACUGACGCUGAGGCACGAAGGCCAGGGGAGCGAAAGGGAUUAGAUACCCUUGUAGUC